ensembl:rRNA 5S_rRNA 5S ribosomal RNA
AGCCACAGCCAUAUCACCCUGCAGCCCAAGACUGGUUGCCCACUGAAGCUAAGCAGGGUUGAGCCUGGUCACUACUUGGAUGGGAGACCUUCUGGGAAAACUAGGUUGCUGUUGGGA